UACGUAGGUUGCGAGCGUUGUCCGGAUUUACUGGGCGUAAAGCGCGCGCAGGCGGUCCUGAAAGUCGAAUGUGAAAGCUCCUGGCCCAACUGGGAGAGGCCGUUCGAAACUUCGGGACUUGAAGGCGGGAGAGGCAGAUGGAAUUUCCGGUGUAGCGGUAAAAUGCGUAGAUACCGGAAGGAACACCAGUGGCGAAAGCGAUCUGCUGGCCCGCCCUUGACGCUCAGGCGCGAAAGCCAGGGGAG
rnacentral:rRNA from 1 species